GAGCCACAAUGGAUAAACUAACGGGCUACGGUAGGACCGCGCUUUGAUUUAUAAUCCGUAGAGAGAUACCAUCUCGUUUGCCAUCCACGAGAGACAAGUGAAAUAACGGUUAAGGGAUCUCACAACCUCGGAAAUAGACCACCAAUUCGACAUGGAUCCGUUGAGCAUCGACAGCGCCUUUUAGAAACCGGCUGCCUCCGCCUGCUUCAAAGGCGGAUUUGGGAUGAGAAGCGUUUAUCGUUUUCUGUACUGUCCUCUCUUCAUAGCCCUCCAUUGGAUGGCAAAAGAACCAGGACAAAUUUCCUCGCAUUGAAAAGUGGAACCCAUACGAUACUCUGGCAGUAUGUACGAGAAGGAGUCGGUUGCUAUCUUUGGUUAUCUAGCUGUAUGAGUGUUACUCGGCCGUCAUAAAGCUAGCUAACCGAAAGUAGGAAUGUCCUCCAAACCUGCGACUCGGACAGGAAUAAAUGGUGUCUGGGAGUAAAGACACAUAACAUAAUUGAUAUGCAAUUACAGGCCAAUACCUCAGUGCCUUUCCGGUAAGUUAUAACAAUUUCCCCUAAUCACUUAUUAUAAACAUCUGUUGAAACACUUCUGAAUUCCUCAAAACCUGCUACAACCCGAAAUUAUUUUUAAUACGUUUUCAUAUUUAAUUUAGAGAAGAUAUUCUCAAAAUAUAAGUAGGAUCAUCUUUAUAGCAUGCCUUUAAAUGAAAAGUCAAAAUUUUCUACAAUCAUGCUGUGAAUUGAAGUGUAUAUUUGUCCCAGUUUUGUUUAGUAUGCUUGGAGCUUGAAUGAUCUUUAUAUAUUUAUUUAUUCCAUCACGCAAAGCAUAUGGAGUGUUUUUGCCUAAAACAUCUUCUAAAACGAAAAAUACUUCAUAAAAAGGCUUUUUUUCCAGUCAGAGGAAUACAUAACUUUAUCCAGUCACAUGAGUGAACUGUAACAAUUGGUAUUCAGGCCUGAAUAUGAAUAAAGCUUUGUUGCAUCAAAGUAUCCAUAGUUGAUGCUGUAUUCCUUAUAGUUCUCACUGCAUAAAUCAGGUUUACGUACACGCAAACACAUAUGGAAUUAUGGUUUAAUGAAAUGGAUUAAGAUUUGUAGCUCAUAUUGAUUUCAUUCUUAAAAAUGUGGAAACGUUUUAAUUUUCCAGAAAAUGGCCGAUAUUAGCCUUUAUGACGUAUUUAGGCCUACUGUAGACCAACGCCUAUGAAAAAGACGGUCCUGAUUAAGAUGAGCUAUGUAGGCUUUACCUAGCCCUUGCACUGAAAUUCUGAAAAAGCGUAGGCUAAUGAUAUCUUUCAGUCGAUAUUAAGUCAAGCGAUCCAUGUCAUUACAUAAACACAUCAUUUCAAAAAUAGAAAAAUGUAGUUGUGUUCUCACAUUGAGUCGUGUUACCUAGAAAGGAAGAACACUUAAGAUAUUCAUGGUUUUUGUAGAUUUGAAAUGCGUUAUACCUCCCAUGUGAGUCACACAAUACUUUGACGCAUUGUGUGCACACCUAAUCGGCCCAAAUUAUUCAAGUGUCUCAAUUUGGACUUUCUGCCUGGCCCUUCACGGUGCUAUAGCUGUCCCUCAAAAGGCAACUUCUAUAGCUUCUCUUGGAGAACCAAAUCCGGGGAUGGAUUUUCAUUCAACCAACAACUCCUCUCAGAGCCUACAGUGGCGCUCAAUGGCUGGAGCGCGCUCCUGGCUAAUUGGUUUGAUUCAGUAAAGGAGGCUAUACGGUGGAUUUGUGAAACGUCCAAGCGAGCUUUUCCCACGACCGGACGGAUCUCUCCAUUCUAGUGUGUCACCAGACAAUUUAGAAUUUCCACUGGUCAACACAGUGACGUAGGGCCUACAAGUCGCUACUCUGAUAAUCUCGUCCUUAACCAAAACCGCAUCCUCUUGACGUCUAUUGUGAGCUUUACAUUACCCAAGUGUAGGCCUUUACAUUACCCAAGUGUAGCCCGAUAUCUACAUUCCUCCUCAGGUCUUUUAAUACUGAAAGUAGGCUAGUUGUUGAUGAUGGAAAUGAACAACUACUAUUAACUCACUUGAUUUGAACACUUCAUAUUCUAAUCAAUCUCAAUAUAUGUUUAAAAUAUCCAUCUAUUAUUAUUUAUUGUACCCUUCACCUUUCUUCACUAACUGCAUUCUGAUUGUACCUCUACUAUACUCAAAACAAAAGCCUUGUGUCCACCACCUCCAGCCUGCCUAUCUGAAUCUCCUCAUCAUUAACUGUAAUGCAGGCUCUGGUCCAUACAAGUCCCAACAAAGAAGAAUGGAGACAUUAUCUAAUUCAACCACACCUAUCUCACCACUCAAUUCUUCUCUAGGCCUAAUCCAUAUAAACGUGUCCUUUGAAUGUUGUAGAAGAACCCUUGGCAUGACUAUUCUAUAACCCGACAAUGAUCAAAUUAAUUGUCGCUGAAUGUUAGUGAUGAGAAUUCAAGCGUAUUGUUUUAAUGGAUGUGUUUUUGCUUUUUUUUCACUAUUGCAUUGUAUUGUAUUUGGAAAUGUCUUUGUUAUUGUCAAAGGUUGAUCCAGUGCCCUUGUCACUGCAGUGGCUGCCUGAGAUACACACAGAAACUCUGCAGUGUGAACAGCACACGCUGUCUACUAUAUGUGACUGCCAGCCAUUCACACCAGGUCUGGAUUGAGCGAGGGGAAAGUGGCACAGUCGUCACAAAAAAAGGAAAAAGCAGGAGGGGAAGAAAAAGGCCAACCCCCUUGUCCCUCUUCCCUUAAAUCUCCAUCACCGGAAGCCUUUGGUGCCAUCUGUGCCCCCGGAGAAAAGGACGGGCGAGAUGCCUCCACCCUGUGCCAACGGGGACAAAGGAGCUGCCAGUUAGAGCGGCCCCCCUCGCAGGCAGCCAGAGGACUCUGUGUGACUGACUGGGGCUGAGCUACGGAAGCCAUCUUGAUGGAGAGUCUUGCUGCUGCUCCUAAAAUGGCUGUGUUGGCAUGAGGUCCUGCUGGUGUUGACAACCUCCAGAGGAAGCCUCUUCCACCAGCCCUGAGCCCUUGGCCCUGAGUCCUGGGCCCUGAGUCCUGGGCCCUGAGUCCUGGGCCCUGGGCCCUGGCAGUCGGUCUAGAAGCACCAAUGGGAAUAGCAUAUCAGAUCCCAGGAUGUCAUGCAAGGCCUUCCUCAUUGGCAUCCUCUCCAGUCAAACACUGAGAAAUGAGGGCACUGAAGAAUCCCCCCUAAAGUUAAUGUUUGGAUAGAUUUACUGUAAGGACAAUGUUUGGAGUUAUUUGAAGACAUUGCUUGCAGGAGUUGCACAUGGAUUAUCUGCAGAUAUAUUGCACUUGGGUAAUCAAUGUUCCCCAGCUGAGAGUGAGUGUAUAGUUUCAACAUCAUUUUUAACAUUACAGCAAAAUGUAAAACAAUGUGUGUAUGAUGUUAAAUCAAAAGGGAUGUGAUCAACUUGUGUUCAUUCCUUAAUUUAAGGACGUGUGUGUGUGUGUGUGUGUGUGUGUGUGUGUGUGUGUGUGUGUGUGUGUGUGUGUGUGUGUGUGUGUGUGUGUGUGUGUGUGUGUGUGUGUGUGUGUGUGUGUGGUUUGGUCCCUAUUGUACUCUGUAGAGUACUCUGGAGUGUACUGGGCUUCAGAGAAGCACUACAGUGCCCUAAUGUGUGGGCUGUUUACAAGAGAAGCUCUCUGGAUGUCUAUCCUCUGUCAUGUGCAAUUAGUUACUUUAUGAAUAGAACUGACUACUCUAUGCAAAUAAAUGUGAAUGACUCACCCUCUGGCUGUAUUGCAAAUGUUGUUUAAUGUUUGACUGUCACAGUGAAAAGAAAGACAUUGUUUGGUGAAGAUUCCAUCCAUUUACUGUAUAUCCAUCAAAUGCUGCAUUUUUCCUAUUACAAAUAUUAUCUGCAUGUGUUCAUAGUGAUCAGGGAAUGUUCAACAUGAAAUGUGUUGGAUACAUUAUUGAAGCAGUCAGAUUAAUAGCCGUCUCAUUGCCUGAUUAUUACUAUUAUCCUUAUUCAGAGAGAUAGACAGUACAUACCUGCAGUAAAGAAAGGGACACAUACUUGUACACUAACAUCAUGCAAAGCAUGUUUUUGUAAUUGAGUUCUGACUUGUCAUGACUUCUGUGCUGUUGAAUUG
rnacentral:lncRNA from 1 species